AGGCAGCCUGGAAGCCACGGAGACGCCCGCGGCCCGAGGGAGCGAGCCCGGCUCGCGGCCCGGCCAGCGGUCACCCGUCCUCAGGAGGCCGCCUUGGCCAAGGUCACGGAAGUCCCCUGAGGGGGGGCAGCUACGGAAGUGCUUGGUGUACGGGGUCGCCUCCCCCUCGAAGGGCCCAGAAGGUCCGCGGCUCCGCAGGACCGGGCGCCUCAGCCGCCCGCUGGGCCUCGCACCUCGCACCCGCGCCCCUCGGCCCUGACGCUGCGAGACGACUUGCAGGACACACCUUCUAGGCUACUCUCUGGUCCAGAUCCACACUCCAGCGUCCGAGGCUAAGACAUCUGCAUAUGAAUGGGAUUCAUCCUCCUCAGAAAGUCACUUGCUCCUCUGACAACAGUGAUCCCACGUCACGGUCACGCUGCCGUCCUCCACGGGGAGCUGUCAGAUCGGGUGACCACAUCCUUCUCCAGGAUCGCAGCCACGGCCCCGGCCCCUGGACUUCAUAGGCUGCUUUGGAAAAUGUCAGCUCCUAGCACCAAAGGGUUUAAUCUGAAGAUCAUCAUUAAUGAAGGAGAAAGAUGAGGUUUGCAUACAUGUCCCCUUUCAGUGAGAAAUGUUGGAAUCUGGGGACAUGAGUAUAUACAGAAAAAGAAAAGUUGGAGGUGUUCUUUUUGUGUGUUGUUUUGUUUUCUCCCUGAUGGCUUAAUUCAGUGAUAAAUGUACCAUGAUCGGAAUAAACACACCAGGUUCUUAUCCC